ACCUGUUUUUCAGAAAUUUCACUGAGAGUACAGAAAUGUUCUUACAGGUGUACCUUGCUCCCAUUGCUACUCCUCAGCAAUUGUGUGGGCUGGGUCCCAGACUUACUAACGUGUACCUAUGUCACCUCAGUUUUCAAUCUCAAUUGAAAACAUAAUUUCUGAUCCUUCUGAUGAAUGACACGUGAAAAAACUUAUCAGCCCUUCCCCUGUUAAACAAACAGAAGUGACUUCUGUAUAAAUCACACAAAAAAACCCAGUACAUUAAAAGCAUUAGAAGUCCUAAAUCUAAUAAUGGAAAAGAUGAUCACAAUUCCAAAAGGAAAUUGAUUACCUAUUUAUAUCAAUUUUGAAAGAACUGACGAAGAACCCAGAAAUAGAAUACUCAAAUUUAUAUGUCUCCCUGUUUUAAAGGUUAAAAUCAGCUGAUCUGCUUAAAAGGAAAGACAGACAAAUGUGCAAACGUCAGGAAAUGCCAUCGCUCACCAUAGAGAAAAUUGAGCAAUAUUGCUUUAAAAUAUCCAGAAUCGAGUUUGGGACUAAAGCUUCAUAUUCUGAUCCGGGUAAGUUCUCCUUAACGUCCUACUCAGCUCUUCACUGUCUGUGUCGUUUCCUCUUUUUCAGAGGUGCUGGGGUCCGGGCAGUUGCACAGAAGUGGGGUAAUAUUCCAUCCUCACUUCAUCAGACAUACAGAGCUAGCAAUACAUCACAGUGUUUAGGAGAUCCCUGUCACAGUAAGCAACUCUGCAGAUUCCUGUCUCCUCUCCAAGGAGAGGAGAUAAAAUAUCCAUGUGCAGCUGUAACCCCUUUCAGCAAUUGCAGAGACCAAAAGAAUCAGGGAUCUGCCUUCUACAAUAGCUAAUAAAAAAAGUGUGUUGGGGAAUUACUACCAAAGGGACAUUUCAUCUUGACCGGUAGGGAUUUUUCUCUGAUUCUACACAGAAUUAUUUAACAGUCAUAGCAAAUUUCAGACUGCUUGACCAGAAUUAUUUUCUUCAGCUGUUAAGGGAUGACUUUGUCACUCAUUUUGGGAUACUGUCAAAGUUGCUACUUUGUCUACUUGAGGAGUUUGCCAGAAAUCCCAGCAGUUUGAGAAAUGAAUUGGCAGGUACUCACUGAAAGGAAAAACAUGUCACAGAAGACAUAGAGGGCCCUUAUGGACAGCUAACUGUGCCAGCACAGCUCCAUACCCUGUGCCAGAUGUGCAGCAAAUUCUUGGAAUUACCAGAAUGUACUCUUUUUGCCCCCAAAUGCAUACCAUUUAGCAACAAAAUAGAUUCUCUAUGAAAUGAACUCUCAGAAAACUAUGCAGGAGUAUUUCUAUGGUUUGACGGCUUUCUUUUCACUCACCUGAGGUCCCUGUGGUCCUUUAGGGCCAAAUGGACCUUCCAAUCUGUAUUUAUUAAAAAAGGAAAG
rnacentral:lncRNA from 1 species